CAGUCGCCACGGUAAUACAGAGGGUGCAAGCGUUAAUCGGAAUUACUGGGCGUAAAGCGCGCGUAGGUGGUUCGCCAAGUUGGAUGUGAAAUCCCCGGGCUCAACCUGGGAACUGCAUCCAAAACUGGUGAGCUAGAGCAUGGUAGAGGGUGGUGGAAUUUCCUGUGUAGCGGCGAAAUGCGUAGAUAUAGGAAGGAACAUCAGUGGCGAAGGCGACCACCUGGACUGAUACUGACACUGAGGUGCGAAAGCGUGGGGAGCAAACAGGAUUAGAUACCCCAGUAGUCCCUGUCUCUUAUAC
rnacentral:rRNA from 1 species